GUGAGGAAUAUUGGUCAAUGGGCGGGAGCCUGAACCAGCCAAGUCGCGUGAAGGAAGAAGGAUCUAUGGUUCGUAAACUUCUUUUGAGGGGGAAUAAAGUGCAGGACGUGUCCUGUUUUGUAUGUACCCUGAGAAUAAGGAUCGGCUAACUCCGUGCCAGCAGCCGCGGUAAUACGGAGGAUCCGAGCGUUAUCCGGAUUUAUUGGGUUUAAAGGGUGCGUAGGUGGCUUGAUAAGUUAGCGGUGAAAGUUUGCAGCUUAACUGUAAAAAUGCCGUUGAGACUGUCGGACUUGAGUGUAAAUGAGGUAGGCGGAAUGCGUGGUGUAGCGGUGAAAUGCAUAGAUAUCACGCAGAACUCCGAUUGCGAAGGCAGCUUACUAAGCUACAACUGACACUGAAGCACGAAAGCGUGGGGAUCAAACAGGAUUAGAUACCCUAGUAGUCC
rnacentral:rRNA from 1 species